rnacentral:tRNA from 1 species
GCCGGGAUAGCUCAGUCGGUAGAGCGCCGCCCUUGUAAUGCGGAUGUCGUCGGUUCGAUUCCGACUCUCGGCU